rnacentral:rRNA from 1 species
UACGUAGGGGGCAAGCGUUGUCCGGAUUUAUUGGGCGUAAAGCGCGCGCAGGCGGUUUCUUAAGUCUGAUGUGAAAGCCCACGGCUCAACCGUGGAGGGUCAUUGGAAACUGGGAGACUUGAGUGCAGAAGAGAAGAGUGGAAUUCCACGUGUAGCGGUGAAAUGCGUAGAGAUGUGGAGGAACACCAGUGGCGAAGGCGACUCUUUGGUCUGUAACUGACGCUGAGGCGCGAAAGCGUGGGGGGCAAACAGG